GAAAGGGAAACGGAAUCCUGAGCAAUUAGGAAGCCAACACAGGUGCUGCAUGGCUGUCGUCAGCUCGUGUCGUGUAGAUGUUGGGUUAAGUCCCGUAACGAGCGCAACCCUUACCUUUAUUUGCCAUCAUUGAGUUGGGCACUCUAAAGGAACCGCUCCGGUUAACGGGGAGGAAGGUGGGGAUGACGUCAAGUCCUCAUGGCCUUUAUGCCCAGGGCUACACACGUGCUACAAUGGCCAGUACAAAGGGCUGCAAAUCCGUGAGGGUGAGCAAAUCCCAAAAAGCUGGUCUCAGUUCGGAUUGGAGUCUGCAACCCGACUCCAUGAAGUCGGAAUCGCUAGUAAUCGCAGAUCAGCGUGCUGCGGUGAAUACGUUCCCGGGCCUU
rnacentral:rRNA from 1 species